rnacentral:rRNA from 1 species
CCUACGGGAGGCAGCAGUGAGGAAUAUUGGUCAAUGGACGAGAGUCUGAACCAGCCAAGUAGCGUGAAGGAUGACUGCCCUAUGGGUUGUAAACUUCUUUUAUAAAGGAAUAAAACGAGGCACGUGUGCCUUUUUGCAUGUACUUUAUGAAUAAGGAUCGGCUAACUCCGUGCCAGCAGCCGCGGUAAUACGGAGGAUCCGAGCGUUAUCCGGAUUUAUUGGGUUUAAAGGGAGCGUAGAGGGGUUGUUAAGUCAGUUGUGAAAGUUUGCGGCUCAACCCGAAAAUUGCAAUUGAUACUGGCGGUCUUGAGUGAAGUUGAGGUAGGCGGAAUUCGUGGUGUAGCGGUGAAAUGCUUAGAUAUCACGAAGAACCCCGAUUGCGAAGGCAGCUUACUAAACUGUAACUGACAUUGAUGCUCGAAGGUGUGGGUAGCAAACAGGAUUAGAUACCCCAGUAGUC